UACGUAGGGCGCAAGCGUUGUCCGGAAUUAUUGGGCGUAAAGAGCUCGUAGGCGGCUUGUCACGUCGGGUGUGAAAGCCCGGGGCUUAACCCCGGGUCUGCAUUCGAUACGGGCAGGCUGGAGUUCGGCAGGGGAGACUGGAAUUCCUGGUGUAGCGGUGAAAUGCGCAGAUAUCAGGAGGAACACCGGUGGCGAAGGCGGGUCUCUGGGCCGAUACUGACGCUGAGGAGCGAAAGCGUGGGGAGCGAACAGG
rnacentral:rRNA from 1 species